rnacentral:misc_RNA from 1 species
GUUUCCCCAGCCAUUCAUCAUCUGAUCAGGGUUUGCACCAUGUUCCUGCUCUCCCAUUUCAUGACCAAUUGGAACAUUGUUGCCUUGUGAUCCAAGGGCACUUCUCCUUAUUGGAGUAGGAGAUAUCAUUUCAGCAUGAGAAUGUGAUUCUGCACGAGCUUGCUCUGCCUGAACCAUGGCUGCCAUUCUCAACUGAGCCUCCCUACCAGCUUUCUCCCUGGCAUCCAUUUCUGUUUUCAGCUCAAACAAAAGCCGCUUCUCCUCCUGGAGAAGAAUCUGCUCAAUCAUCAAUCUCUCCUCAGACCGGAAUUCCCCUAAAGCUCGCUUGCGGGUUAUUAUGUUGAAAGCUAGGGCUUGUUUCUCAAAUGUGCCUGUGAAUUCCGCAACUUUGGCUGCAAUAUUGAAAUCCCAUUGCUGAGAACGAGAUGGCAUCUGACCUGUUGUGUCAGAAUCAAGGAUUCUAUCAUCCUCCUCUGCUUCAUAGUCCGCUACUACAUGAUAAGGAAGUAAUCUUUCACAGGCAUCCUCAAGAGAAGAAAAUGGCCUCUUGACAUCCGGGUGGCAGACCCGCCAAGCGUCCUGGUAAGCCAUCUGGAGCUCCACCUGGUUGAGUGGGGGCCGGAUCCCCUUCUGCUGCUGUUGCUGUUGCUGUUGCUGCUGCUGUUGUACAAUCGAUGGCUGUUGCUGUUGAGAGGGGAGAGGGGG